CGAUCAAUUGGAAGCAUCCCUUCAUGUCGUGACCAUUUUUACCGCAAUGACUGCACGUCAUUAAUUUUUCUACCAUAUCUCCACGCCCUUUUUCUUUGUAGUUGGCCUGCAUCGCGAGACCCACGACCAACCCCCUUUCUUCCGUUGAUUUGGCCAUCAUUCUCACUCUUUCUUCUUGUACCAACAUAGCAUAUACGCGGUUCAGAGACGGCAAUGGGUCUGAGGCCAGAAUGUUUGAUCUUACUGUCCCGUAGCUUGCGUCAUCCAACCCCAUAAGGAGUUGAUGAACCUUCUCCUCCUCCCUUCGUUUUUCCAACUGAGCACCAAUCCCAC
rnacentral:lncRNA from 1 species